UUGUUUUCCAUAAAGGUUCUGUGAGAUAGACAGCGAUCUUCUCCCAGGAGUGAACCAAUGUCUUGACCUUCUGAAUCUUCCGAAUGGAGUCCUUGGCUGAGGUUGGUUAGAACGUCAACCUCCUCCCAACAGAUAUCUGUGCCUGGAAAUAUUAUAGACGUAGAUGUGGACGUUGCCAUCACACUUGAUCAAGUACACGGAAGGCUUGGCUGGAACUUGGUAAAUGACUUUGCCGAUCUUUUUGGACAGGUCGCUUCUGGUGAACUACACACAUUGACCUUUUAAGAUGUCGCUGUCAACGUCUGACUUCACCUCUGCUGGAGGAGUCUCUGGAAUGAUACGGAGGUUACCUUCUGUGUAAUCAUCCA
rnacentral:lncRNA from 1 species